GGACAAGUAACUCUUGGAAAACCGAAGAGACAAGUAACUCUUGAAAAACCGAAAGGACAAGUUACUAUUAAAAUUUUAAACCAACGAUUCAUAUUGAUUUACUAUUAUAAUUUCAACCAACUGUCUGAAAAAUUAUCACAUCUUCUCAUGGAAUAAUAUUGUACUCAAAAAUGAUUUGGACCGAAAAGAAAUAUAUUUUUCGGGUGAAUAGUACCCCGUGAAUAGUACUUUGGGAAUA
rnacentral:lncRNA from 1 species